rnacentral:rRNA from 1 species
CAGCAGCCGCGGUAAUACGAAGGGUGCAAGCGUUACUCGGAAUUACUGGGCGUAAGGCGUGCGUAGGUGGUGGUUUAAGUCCGUUGUGAAAGCCCUGGGCUCAACCUGGGAAUUGCAGUGGAUACUGGGUCACUAGAGUGUGGUAGAGGAUAGUGGAAUUUCCGGUGUAGCAGUGAAAUGCGUAGAGAUCGGAAGGAACAUCUGUGGCGAAGGCGACUAUCUGGGCCAACACUGACACUGAGGCACGAAAGCGUGGGGAGCAAACAGGAUUAGAUACCCCAGUAGUCCCUGUCUCUUAUAC